rnacentral:piRNA from 1 species
UUCCAUGUAUAUCUGCGCACCAGC